AAAAAAAAUUAAGGCAACCUGAAGCAAACCUCGAAGCCUAUUCUUCUCAAAACCCUCAAGCUUUUCUCUCUCGCUCAGAACCCUAUUUUAUCUUUCUCUGGAGCUCUUGCCAUUUCACAUCUCUCUCGAGCCCUCUUCGCUCACGCUGUCCCUCUCUCGAGUCCUCUUUACUGUCACUGUCCCUCUCUCGAACCCUUGCUUCUUCCCCUCUCUCUCGAACUGUCGUCGCAUAACAACGUAGCAAUCUCGUUGUCCUUCAUUAACGAAGCAAUCACCUUCAUCGUUCGUUUUGGAGCCGUAGUUCGACGCUGAGAGAGUACCUUCAUCAACCCUAGGUUCGUGAAAAUAUUCCAGGAGCGGGAAGGAUUCAGAGAGGAGUGAAAAAUAGGAAAAUUGUUCGGUGAGAAAUGGGAAUUAGGUCGCGUGUUCGGUGGGAAAGGAAGAUUCAACGGCUGAAUCAGUGAAACGUGGUAAAAUGAGAAUGUAAUCGCUGGAUUCGAUGGAGAAGGCUGUAGCGAUUUAUCAGAAAAUAUUCCGAAAUUUAUGUUCUUUCACUUCUCUUCGACAUUUAUGUAAAUGUUUUUGUGCAGGUUCAAGAAGUGUACGAAAUUUCAGCUGAGUAUGAAGGAAAGUGUGACCCUAAGAAACUGGAAGAACUUUGAAAUAUGAUAACUAUUUUGGAUGCAGGGGACUAUAUUAUUGUUGCCCAGUCCUUUUCCCACAUGCUUAACUUGGCCAAGUUGGUCGAGGAGGUCCAGAUUUGUCGCCGCCGAAGGAACAAGGUGAAGAAAGGAGAUUUUGCAUAUGAGAACAAUGCAACUACAGAAUUAGCGUUAACUUUCUUACUCUCUAUACCUUUAUUAUUCUCAGUAUUGUUUCGUUAUUUGGUUUUGAUAUAUUUAUAUGCACCCUGAUUUCUGUUUCAAGAUAAGCAUCUAAAUUAUCUAUUAUAUAUUUAGUGAGUAUGCUUUCUUGUCUCAAUUUUUGCAAGGGAAUUAACUACUUUUUGGUUUGCGCUGAAGAAUUUUUCAUUGCCCAGGAGGAAAUGAGAGUUGUGUUUUUCUAAUUAUUUUUGGUUACAUGUGUUGAUUUACCGAGUUAUAUUGAGUCAAAGUUGCUUAAUUGAUUUCAAUAUUUGUUUGUUGCCAUAUUCUGUGGGUAGGCGGUAAUGCAGAUUAUGCUAUGGAUAUGCAUCAGAAAGAACAACUUCAUGACAAUGUUGUACCAAUGAUGCAAUUGCAACAUUUCUCUAUUACUUUGGUUUCAAAGUUAGAUCUUUGCAGGCACUAGGGUUUGUUUUAAUUGCUAGGCUAGAAUUUUGAGGAAACAUUAUUCUCUGCUGCUGAUACUCGCCUUAAGAUUCAAGGAUUACAAAACAUGUACGAGUAUCUUCUGGAUGCUGAAAGCCAAAUGGGAACUGAUAAAGAUGAUGAUAACGUUGAUGGUUACACAGUAAGAGCUGGAAAGAGUGUACCUGUUGCUGUUGGUGCCGGUGAUACAAACAUAUGUGGGGGUAUAGUUCAGUUAUAUUGGGAUAAUAUUUUGGGCAAAUGUUUGGAUUUCAAUGAACAAGUUCUUCAAUCAGCCCUGAAGGUCAGAUCCAGCUUCUAUAUCGGUUUAGAUUCAACACUCUUAAUCUAAAUGUUAUCAAAAAUUAAAUCUCUUCUUUGGAAACAGUUAAUAAACAUAUGCAUGUGCAUGUAUUGUAUUUACUACUGUUUAAAUUCUUCCAAAUCUUUUGGAUUAAUGUAGUGAGGUAAAGGAUAUGAGUAAAUUAGGUAGAUGCUUUUCAGAGGAGUUUAAAAGUGAAUCUUGCAAGUGCUAGUUAUCAGUCUCUAGGACUAUGGUCUAAAUUAUCUAUCGUUUUGAAGCUUAUUUUCUUUAGAAGAUUAAGUGCCUCUUUUUAUUAGCAUAGUCUGGCUUUGCGAAGGGAUAUCAAUGACUUCCAAUGAACAUUCUCUGAAAGCAAUUGUCGUGGUCCAAGUUUCAUUUGAAUAUGUUGCAAUGCUAAAACAAUCAGGACUGAAGCAUUCUUGUUAAAAUGGUCUAGUUUUCUUUUACUCUUACUUAUAAAAUAAUUAAUUUGUUAAUAAUGCAGAUUGUUGAA